UGCGUAGGCGGGUUUCUAAGUCAGAGGUGAAAGCCUGGAGCUCAACUCCAGAACUGCCUUUGAUACUGGAAGUCUUGAGUAUGGCAGAGGUGAGUGGAACUGCGAGUGUAGAGGUGAAUUCGUAGAUAUUCGCAAGAACACCAGUGGCGAAGGCGGCUCACUGGGCCAUUACUGACGCUGAGGGCACGAAAGCUGGGGGAGCAAACA
rnacentral:rRNA from 1 species